rnacentral:rRNA from 1 species
CUUUACUGCAGCUUGGCAGUGAGUUUCGGAUGAUUCUGCGUAGGAUAAGUGGGAGGCUUUGAGACCGGGCUUCUGGGUUCGGUGGAGCCAACGUUGAAAUACCACUCUGAAUUAUCUGGGAUUCUAACCUGCACCCAUAACCUGGGUGAGGGACACUGUCUGGUGGGCAGUUUGACUGGGGCGGUCGCCUCCUAAAAAGUAACGGAGGCGUGCGAAGGUUCUCUUAGCCUGAUUGGAAACCAGGCGUUAAGUGCAAAUGCAGAAGAGAGCUUAACUGCGAGACCGACAGGUCGAGCAGGUGCGAAAGCAGGCAUUAGUGAUCCGGUGGUUCCGCAUGGAAGGGCCAUCGCUUAUCGGAUAAAAGGUA